GUUUGUCAUAAAUAGGUCUUUGUGCCUGUAGUCCCAGCUACUCAGGAGGCUGAGGCUGGAGGAUCGCUUGAGUCCAGGAGUUCUGGGCUGUAGUGUGCUAUGCGUAUCGGGUGUCCGCACUAAGUUUGGCAUCAAUAUGGUGACCUCCUGGGAGCGGGGACCACCAGGUUGCCUAAGGAGGGGUGAACUGGCCCAGGUCGGAAACGGAGCAGGUCGAAACUCCCAUGCUGAUCACAUGCUUUUUCUUUCAAAAUUGGGAUCCUUCAGGUUGAGCCAGCCAGAGAAGAUAGCGAGGUGUAAAUCUCUC
rfam:Homo sapiens chromosome 9, GRCh38 reference primary assembly.